rnacentral:rRNA from 1 species
CACGUAGGCGGAUGUGUCAGUCAGGGGUGAAAUCCCGGAGCUCAACUUCGGAACUGCCUCUGAUACAGCACGUCUUGAGUCCGAUAGAGGUGGGUGGAAUUCCUAGUGUAGAGGUGAAAUUCGUAGAUAUUAGGAAGAACACCGGUGGCGAAGGCGGGCCCGACCUGGAUCGGUACUGACGCUGAGGUGCGAAAGCGUGGGGAGCAAACA